GCCAUCGUGGUGUAGUGGUCAGCGCCCUGGGCCCUAUUCUAGAUGCCCGUGGUUCGAGUCCCUGCGAAGGCG
rnacentral:tRNA from 1 species